rnacentral:rRNA from 1 species
UACGAAGGGUGCAAACGUUGCUCGGAAUUAUUGGGCGUAAAGCGCACGUAGGCGGCUCUGCAAGUCCCAUGUGAAAGCCCACGGCUUGACCGUGGAAGUGCAUGGGAAACUGCAGAGCUUGAGUACUUAAGAGGAUCGCGGAAUUCCCGGUGUAGAGGUGAAAUUCGUAGAUAUCGGGAGGAACACCAGUGGCGAAGGCGGCGAUCUGGGAAGAUACUGACGCUGAGGUGCGAAAGCGUGGGGAGCAAACAGG